CCCUCAAGAUGAGAUAUCCCAUAACGUCAAGUUAGUAAGACCCCUUGAAGACGACGAGGUAGAUAGGGCAGAGGUGGAAGUGCGGUAACGCAUGGAGCUGACUGUUACUAAUAGGUCGAGGGCAUAACCAA
rnacentral:rRNA from 1 species